AUCUUCAUACAACAUCUUCCUUUCUGUUUAUUGUGUUAUUUUAUACCACUGCUUCUAAUUCACAGGACUACAGGUGAGAGAGAAGUGCCUGUCAAAACGUCUCCAGCUCUUCCACAAUGGAACACGGACGUUCCCCUGUUGUUUUAUGUGUUUAGUGGUGGCCUCGUGUUAAUAACUCUCUUUAUUAUGUUCCUCUGUUUCCCCCACGCUUCCCCUUUCUGAACUGACAAUAAAGUGACGCUGGAAAGAGUGACGCGGUGAAGUCACUGAUUUGAUUAGAACAUUCACUGGCUGAAAGGAGCCUGUUCCCAGGUCUGUAGAGCCUGUUCCCAGGUCUGUAGAGCCUGUUCCCAGGUCUGUAGAGCCUGUUCCCAGGUCUGUAGAGCCUGUUCCCAGGUCUGUAGAGCCUGUUCCCAGGUCUGUAGAGCCUGUUCCCAGGUCUGUAGAGCCUGUUCCCAGGUCUGUAGAGCCUGUUCCCAGGUCUGUAAGGUAUGUGCUUGAGCCAACUCUUCUGACUGUCAUUGACACACAGCUUUGUUAUGCCAUUCAUGUUUGGUGUGACACUGAUUUGAACGACCUUGAGAGGACUUGGCUGAAGCACAGAGCCAUCUGGAGCCUGGUUACAAUGAACCCUGUGUAUACUAUGUUGAUAGCCUUGGAUGGCCAGGCUUCUCUCCUGUUGCUUCUUAAGGUGAGGUUUACUAUAUGGUGACUGUUCUCUAAAACCUCAAUCAAAUUGGCUUUUUGUGUUUACUGCUUGGCUUGGAUUGGGGGUUUUCUCAGUGUUUAAAACAUCCCUCUACUGUAGGUAUGAUGUCUUUAUGGUUUAAAACAUCCCUCUACUGUAGGUAUGGAUGUCUUUAUGGUUUCAAACAUCCCUCUACUGUAGGUAUGAUGUCUUCAUGGUUUAAAACAUCCCUCUACUGUAGGUAUGAUGUCUUCAUGGUUUAAAACAUCCCUCUACUGUAGGUAUGAUGUCUUUAUGGUUUAAAACAUCCCUCUACUGUAGGUAUGAUGUCUUUAUGGUUUAAAACAUCCCUCUACUGUAGGUAUGAUGUCUUUAUGGUUUAAAACAUCCCUCUACUGUAGGUAUGGAUGUCUUUAUGGUUUAAAACAUCCCUCUACUGUAGGUAUGAUGUCUUUAUGGUUUAAAACAUCCCUCUACUGUAGGUAUGGAUGUCUUUAUGGUUUAAAACAUCCCUCUACUGUAGGUAUGGAUGUCUUUAUGGUUUAAAACAUCCCUCUACUGUAGGUAUGGAUUAAAACAUCCCUCUACUGUAAUUAUGGAUGUCUUUAUGGUUUAAAACAUCCCUCUACUGUAAUUAUGGAUGUCUUCAUGGUUUAAAACAUCCCUCUACUGUAGGUAUGAUGUCUUUAUGGUUUAAAACAUCCCUCUACUGUAGGUAUGAUGUCUUUAUGGUUUAAAACAUCCCUCUACUGUAGGUAUGAUGUCUUUAUGGUUUAAAACAUCCCUCUACUGUAGGUAUGAUGUCUUUAUGGUUUAAAACAUCCCUCUACUGUAGGUAUGAUGUCUUCAUGGUUUAAAACAUCCCUCUACUGUUGGUAUGGAUGAGUCUUUAUGGUUUAUAUGUGUUAUUUAAAACCUCUUAAAUGUAAAUCAUUGUAAUCUAUCUAAUCCCCAGAAGUAAGGAUUCAUCAUGAGUGUCAUAAACAAUAACUAGUAAUCCUGCAUACUCCAAGGUUAAAAUCUCACCCUCCAGGUAAAAAUAGUUAUAAAUUGCAGAGGUGUAGUCACUUUCGAGGACACAAGUACACAGGACAAUAUGAUGAAAAUAUUAAAUAUCUUACGAUGUAUUUACGAAUCAACAAAACUGUAUAUAUCCGGCUUGAAAUGACUUAUAUUUCUUCUAAAUACAGUAUAAUCAAUUUAUAAAAGGACUGACUAUAAUAUUUCACCCUCCUUAUAACUGCAAAAUGCAUAUGUGAAUAUUUAGUUUUAGAGAAAAUGUGAUUGUUUCUUGAUCAAAACAUAUGACAUCACUGUGAAUGUCUCACAGAGCUCUAGCAUGGCUUCCUGAACUCUGAGGAACUCGCCUUUCAUAUCAUAUUCAUCUUAUCCUUCUAUGACAAAUCAUUGUAUUAUUUUUGAUUACUGGCUAUAAAUCGAUCCCUGAGGGACAUCACUGCUUCACACAGGCAGAAGAGACAUACUCCUGUGUCUGUGAGAAUCAGGGCUACCACUCAAUGCAAGCCAUUUCCAUCUACAGUCCACAGACCAAUUUAGACUUGGAAAUAUCGGUUAGAACAGUUACCAGAACCACACAGGUUACCAGUUACCAGAACCACACAGGUUACCAGUUACCAGAACCACACAGGUUACCAGUUACCAGAACCACACAGGUUACCAGUUACCAGAACCGCACAGGUUACCAGUUACCAGAACCACACAGGUUACCAGUUACCAGAACCACACUGGUCCCCUAAACAGGGGACUUUACAUCUAUUAAUAAAUCAAGCAAUUCGUAUAUGUUAAGAAUUUGGAAAUGCUUAAAGAUCCUGUUCAAUCUCUUUAACAGAGAUGAUAUGACGAAAUCUGUUUCCAAUGUGACAUGACAGCCAAAAUGUCACAGUGACUUGGAGUUCCACCAAAACCAAUAUGGAAAUGGGAGAACGGACAGUGCCUCUCUUGCAGAUGAUAAGAGCAUUUUUAAUCCACUGGGAUGGGAGUACCCUCACACACACAGAGAACCUAAUGGCUUCAACAGCAGGUAGGCUUCUCAGCCAGUAAUUAGUAGGACUAGUGAAGUCAAUAGCCCACGGGGCUCUGGUCUAAAGUAGUGCUCUGCAAGGUUCCCAUUUUGCAUGCAGUCACUGUUUUGAUGUUUUCUCGCCAUUGUGAUGUCAUUCAUUAUUUAUCUCCAUUGUGAUGUCAUUUAUUAUUUAUCUCCAUUAUGAUGUCAACCGAAAAGCUGUAUGUGGAUCCAUGAAUGGAAGUAAUUACACACAAAAAAUGAAGAAAAAACUAACCACGUUCUUAUUUUUUAUUUUAAUCCAAAUUUUAAACGUCAACAUAAUCUUGCUUUACACGUAAACAACAAUAGACACACGAUGAGCCCUUUUUCCAUCAGCAGUUGCCACAGAGUGCUUACCCAGCCUAAAACCACGAAGAGAAAGCAAUGCAGAUGUAGAAGCAUCAUUGUAAUUCAUGACACAAAACAUCAAAAGUUCAAUGUUUAACUUAUGGUCCAGUAAUGACGUAUAGUGUUGAUAGCAGAUGUACAGAAGCUUGUGCUGAAAAGUAUUGACCUCGAACAAAAUCCUAUAGAAACAUGUUUGUACAAUUUGUUAAAUGAUUAAAGCCUGAGUGUUGGUCUGUUUGGGUUGUCAACCUACUUGUCACUCAUUGUUUGGCUUGAACACGGAGGUGCAUGGAGCACAAAUAGAUCUGGGACCAGGUUAAUUUGAUUUGUUUUACCUUUAUUUUACUAGGCAAGUCAGUUAAGAACAAAUUCUUAUUUUCAGUGACGGUCUAGGAACAGUGGGUUAACUGCCUGAUCAGGGGCAGAGCGACAGAUUUGUACCUUGUCAGCUCGGGGAUUCGAACUUGCAACCUUUCGGUUACUAGUCCAAUGCUCUAACCACUAGGCUACCUGCCGUCCCUACACUCUAACCACUAGGCUUCCUGCCACCCCUUUCAGUUAAAUAAAAUGGUCUUGAUUCAUUUAUUGAUUGGUAAUUAGCCUCUUUAUAAUUAGAUACCUCCAUCUCCAGACAGUAGUGAUUUGCAUGCUACUGAGUAUUCCACCUCCAACACCUCUAUUGGGUCUAUUGUAUUGUCUGUUGUGGAAUUAUCUGUAGUGAAUCAAUGAACCUGGCUUUCUCAGCGUGCUGAAUCAGGUAAUACUGAAUCAAUGAACCUGGCUUUCUCAGCAUGCUGAAUCAGGUAAUAGUGAAUCAAUGAACCUGGCUUUCUCAGCAUGCUGAAUCAGGUAAUAGUGAAUCAUUGAACCUGGCUUUCUCAGCAUGCUGAAUCAGGUAAUAGUGAAUCAUUGAACCUGGCUUUCUCAGCGUGCUGAAUCAGGUAAUAGUGAAUCAAUUAACCUGGCUUUCUCAGCAUGCUGAAUCAGGUAACUGAAUCAAUGAACCUCGUGUCCUCUCUAUUUCAAAGCAUUUUCGAUCUUUCUGAGGUGACCCUGUUUUAUUUCAUAGUCAAAACAUGUCUUCACAAUCUGUACUUCUCUGAGAUGCCUGCAGUGGUUACCUUCAUUUACAAGACAGUAGUUUGGUGAAAGUACAAAAUGUGUUUUUAUUAGUGAUCGUGUUCGUUAAUGGACUAGCUCUCACUGCCGUAUGUACAGUUGAGCCGUGGGAGGUUUUGUCACCAGGACUUUGGUCUACCGUCUCCUAAACGACAGCUGCCUGCAUGCCGAAUCAGGCCUGCUGUGGUGCUCUCUUCCUGUCAAUAACAAUACUAAUUAAUACAUAUAUCAUUUGCAUAGCAC